GCUACUCAUAGGCAGGGCGUUUAUCAAUAUGCGUACUUGUGCGUACUUGCGUUCUCGUGUACUCGUGAUACGUCAUCAGUCGGAGACCAAGUACUGUUCCAAUUCGAAGUACGCAUCAAGCCGAGAACGCGAAAAAGUCCCGGAUGUGUUCUCGAUCCGCCCGUUUUAUCGAGCAUGCAUCGGUGUGGACUUGGGACAGCUAUAUGUCCCAGAAUGCAUUUCGUCCAAAACUCAACAGCGGACUCCCGGCACAUCGUUUUCACCCCCCCCCGCUCGCGGUCUUCUCACUACUCAGGUUAAAGAAACUCCAGCAGCUGUCUAUAGUAUUGAGUGUCCACUAAAAUAGAAAUAAAAGCGUUCUAACAUCUCACCUGCUUGUUUUUAUUAAGUGCCCUUCUUCAAAGCUGCCUUGUGUGAUGCAAACAACUUUCCAUAUCUGGAGAAAACAGCCAAAAAAGUACACACCCCACAUCCCUGUUCAUCUAGAGUAUAUUGGAUCACAUAAUACAAUAUCAGGACAACCCAUGGUGAUAUCCACUGGGAUGCAGUCCAUGGAAACCAUACACUGUGUCUACAAGAUAGUAAAGGAGCACAAG
ensembl:lncRNA